ACCUAGCUGGCUUAGUUGGUAAAGCAUGUGACCCUUGAUCUCAGGAGUUGUGAGUUCAAGCCCCACAUUGGGUG
rnacentral:tRNA from 1 species